GCGUCCUUGGCUUAGUCGAGAAAACAGCCGACUUCGGUACGGUAGGAUUCGGGUUCGAGUCCCGGGGAGGGCAUG